GAGGGUACAGCUCAGUGGUAGAGUGCCUGCUUAGCAUGCAUGAGGUCCUGGGUUCAAUCCCCAGUACCUCCA
rnacentral:tRNA from 1 species